AUACGGAGGAUCCGAGCGUUAUCCGGAUUUAUUGGGUUUAAAGGGUGCGCAGGCGGGAGAUUGAGUCGGCGGUGAAAUUUUGCAGCUCAACUGUAAAAGUGCCUUCGAAACUGGUUUCCUUGAGUGUAGAUGAAGUAGGCGGAAUUUGUGGUGUAGCGGUGAAAUGCAUAGAUAUCACGAGGAACUCCGAUUGCGCAGGCAGCUUACUAAACUACUACUGACGCUCAGGCACGAAGGCGUGGGGAUCAAACAGGAUUAGAUACCCUGGUAGUCCACGCAGUAAACGAUGAUUACUAGCUGUUUGCGAUACAAUGUAAGCGGCUGAGCGAAAGCGUUAAGUAAUCCACCUGGGGAGUACGUUCGCAAGAAUGAAACUCAAAGGAAUUGACGGGG
rnacentral:rRNA from 1 species